rnacentral:rRNA from 1 species
UACAGGGGGCCCGAGCGUUAAUCGGAAUCACUGGGCUUAAAGGGUGCGUAGGCGGAUCAGGAAGUGUUUCGUGAAAACCCCCGGCUCAACCGGGGAAUUGCGGGGCAAACUCCUGAUCUUGAGGGAAGUAUGGGCGGACAGAACUAUCGGUGGAGCGGUGAAAUGCGUAGAUAUCGAUAGGAAUGCCGAUGGCGAAGGCGGUCCGCUGGGCUUCUCCUGACGCUCAGGCACGAAAGCGUGGGGAGCAAACAGG